rnacentral:lncRNA from 1 species
UUGGGCGCAAUCUUUACAUAAGUACCACCUGUAUCACUUAGAGAUACUUAACAAACGAACAGUGUCCUCAUCCUUAGCAUCAAGACUCAUUACAAUCAACCCUAGAGCAACUGCAGGAAUUACUGAACAUGGCAAAGUCAUAAGUUAUCCUUGAUCUCAGUUCAACAUGUAAUGUCAACUGCAAAAAACUGCUGUCAUUUGACAUAUUGUUUUAUUGUAGACAACACAUUCAACCAGACACACACACACACAAAAAAAAAAGAAAAAAAGGAAAUGAGCCUAAAUAUGGGCCCGGUUAGCUCAGUCGGUAGAGCAUGAGACUUUUAAUCUCAGGGUCGUGGGUUCAAGUCCCACAUUGGGCGCAAUCUUUACAUGAGAACCACCUCUAUCACUGAGAUAAACUUAAAAACAAUGCCAUAAGCCAACAGUGUCCUCAUCCUCAGCAUCAAGAUUCCUUGCACUCAUUACUCGAGCAACUGCAGGAAGAACUGCACAUGGCAAAGUCAUUACUUUUCCUUGAUCUCAGUUCAAAAUGUAAUGUCAGCUGCCACAACACUGCUGUCAUUUGACAUAUUGUUUGAUGUUAGGCAACACAUACAACCAGACACAAACAGAAAAAAUUACUGAACAUGGGCCUUGUUAGCUCAGUCGGUAGAGCAUGAGACUUUUAAUCUCAGGGUCAUGGGUUCAAGUCCCACAUUGGGUGCAAUCUAUACAUGAGAACCACCUCUAUCACUGAGAUAAACUUAAAAACAAUGCCAUAAACCAACAGUGUCCUCAUCCUCAGCAUCAAGAUUCCUUACACUCAUUACUCGAGCAACUGCAGGAAGAAUUGCACAUGGGAAAGUCGUAACUUUUCCUUGAUCUCAGUUCAACAUAUAAUGUCAGCUGCAACAACACUGCUGUCAUUUGACAUAUUGUUUUAUUGUAGACAACACAUUCAACCAGACACACACACAAAAAAAAAAAAAAAAAAAAGGAAAUGACCAUUAAUAUGGGCCCGGUUAGCUCAGUCGGUAGAGCAUGAGACUUUUAAUCUCAGGGUCGAGGGUUCAAGUCCCACAUUGGGCGCAUUCUUUACAUGAGUACCAACUGUAUCACUGAGAUAAACCUAACAACAAUGCCAUAAUGCCAUAAACAACACUGUCCUCAUCCUCAGCAUCAAGAUUCCUUACACUCAUUACUCGAGCAACUGCAGGAAGAACUGCACAUGGCAAAGUCAUAACUUUUCCUUGAUCUCAGUUCAACAUGUAAUGUCAACUGCAAAAACACUGCUGUCAUUUGACAUAUUGUUUGAUUGUAGACAACACAUUCAACCAGACACACACACAAAAAAAAAAAAAAAAAAAAAAAAAGGAAAUGACCACAAAUAUGGGCCCGGUUAGCUCAGUCGGUAGAGCAUGAGACUUUUAAUCUCAGGGUCGUGGGUUCAAGUCCCACAUUGGGCGCAAUCUUUACAUGAGAACGACCUCUAUCACUGAGAUAAACUUAAACACAAUGCAAUAAACCAACAGCGUCCUCAUCCUCAGCAUCAAGAUUCCUUGCACUCAUUACUCGAGCAACUGCAGGAACAACUGCACAUGUGCAAAGUCAUUACUUUUCCUUGAUCUCAGUUCAACAUGUAAUGUCAGCUGCAACAACACUGCUGUCAUUUGACAUAUUGUUUUAUUUUAGGCAACACAUACAACCAGACACAAACAGAAAAAAUUACUGAACAUUGGCCCGGUUAGCUCAGUCGGUAGAGCAUGAGACUCUUAAUCUCAGGGUCGUGGGUUCGAGCCCCACAUUGGGCGCAAUCUUUACAUAAGUACCACCUGUAUCACUUAGAGAUACUUAACAAACAAACAGUGUCCUCAUCCUUAGCCUCAAGACUCAUUACAGUCAACCUCAAGCAACUGCAGGAAGCACUGAACAUGGCAAAGUCGCAACUUUUCCAUGAUCUCAGUUCAACAUGUAAUGUCAACUGCAAAAACACUGCUGUCAUUUGACAUAUUGUUUGAUUGUAGACACCACAUUCAACCAGACACACACAAAAAAAAAAAAAAAAAAAAAAAGGAAAUGAGCCUAAAUAUGGGCCCGGUUAGCUCAGUCGGUAGAGCAUGAGACUUUUAAUCUCAGGGUCGUGGGUUCAAGUCCCACAUUGGGCGCAAUCUUUACAUGAGAACCACCUCUAUCACUGAGAUAAACUUAAAAACAAUGCAAUAAACCAACACUGUCCUCAUCCUCAGCAUCAAGAUUCCUUGCACUCAUUACUGGAGCAACUGCAGGAAGAACUGCACAUGGCAAAGUCAUUACUUUUCCUUGAUCUCAGUUCAAAAUGUAAUGUCAGCUGCAACAACACUGCUAUCAUUUGGCAUAUUGUUUGAUUUUAGGCAACACAUACAACCAGACACAAACAGAAACAAAUUACUGAACAUGGGCCCGGUUAGCUCAGUCGGUAGAGCAUGAGACUCUUAAUCUCAGGGUCGUGGGUUCGAGCCCCACAUUGGGCGCAAUCUUUACAUAAGUACCACCUGUAUCACUUAGAGAUACUUAACAAACGAACAGUGUCAUCAUCCUUAGCAUCAAGACUCAUUACAAUCAACCCUCGAGCAACUGCAGGAAGCACUGAACAUGGCAAAGUCAUAAGUUAUCCUUGAUCUCAGUUCAACAUGUAAUGUCAACUGCAAAAACACUGCUGUCAUUUGACAUAUUGUUUGAUUGUAGACACCACAUUCAACCAGACACACACAAAAAAAAAGAAAAAAAAAAAAAAGGAAAUGAGCCUAAAUAUGGGCCCGGUUAGCUCAGUCGGUAGAGCAUGAGACUUUUAAUCUCAGGGUCGUGGGUUCAAGUCCCACAUUGGGCGCAAUCUUUACAUGAGAACCACCUCUAUCACUGAGAUAAACUUAAAAACAAUGCCAUAAGCCAACAGUGUCCUCAUCCUCAGCAUCAAGAUUCCUUGCACUCAUUACUCGAGCAACUGCAGGAAGAACUGCACAUGGCAAAGUCAUUACUUUUCCUUGAUCUCAGUUCAAAAUGUAAUGUCAGCUGCCACAACACUGCUGUCAUUUGACAUAUUGUUUGAUUUUAGGCAACACAUACAACCAGACACAAACAGAAAAAAUUACUGAACAUGGGCCUUGUUAGCUCAGUCGGUAGAGCAUGAGACUUUUAAUCUCAGGGUCAUGGGUUCAAGUCCCACAUUGGGUGCAAUCUAUACAUGAGAACCACCUCUAUCACUGAGAUAAACUUAAAAACAAUGCCAUAAACCAACAGUGUCCUCAUCCUCAGCAUCAAGAUUCCUUACACUCAUUACUCGAGCAACUGCAGGAAGAAUUGCACAUGGGAAAGUCGUAACUUUUCCUUGAUCUCAGUUCAACAUAUAAUGUCAGCUGCAACAACACUGCUGUCAUUUGACAUAUUGUUUUAUUUUAGACAACACAUUCAACCAGACACACACACAAAAAAAAAAGAAAAAAAAAACGGAAAUGACCAUUAAUAUGGGCCCGGUUAGCUCAGUCGGUAGAGCAUGAGACUUUUAAUCUCAGGGUCGAGGGUUCAAGUCCCACAUUGGGCGCAUUCUUUACAUGAGUACCAACUGUAUCACUGAGAUAAACCUAACAACAAUGCCAUAAACAACACUGUCCUCAUCCUCAGCAUCAAGAUUCCUUACACUCAUUACUCGAGCAACUGCAGGAAGCACUGAACAUGGCAAAGUCAUAACUUUUCCUUGAUCUCAGUUCAACAUGUAAUGUCAACUGCAAAAACACUGCUGUCAUUUGACAUAUUGUUUGAUUGUAGACACCACAUUCAACCAGACACACACAAAAAAAAAGAAAAAAAAAAAAAAGGAAAUGAGCCUAAAUAUGGGCCCGGUUAGCUCAGUCGGUAGAGCAUGAGACUUUUAAUCUUAGGGUCGUGGGUUCAAGUCCCACAUUGGGCGCAAUCUUUACAUGAGAACGACCUCUAUCACUGAGAUAAACUUAAACACAAUGCAAUAAACCAACAGUGUCCUCAUCCUCAGCAUCAAGAUUCCUUGCACUCAUUACUCGAGCAACUGCAGGAACAACUGCACAUGGCAAAGUCAUAACUUUUCCUUGAUCUCAGUUCAACAUGUAAUGUCAGCUGCAACAACACUGCUGUCAUUUGACAUAUUGUUUUAUUUUAGGCAACACAUACAACCAGACACAAACAGAAAAAAUUACUGAACAUGGGCCCGGUUAGCUCAGUCGGUAGAGCAUGAGACUCUUAAUCUCAGGGUCGUGGGUUCGAGCCCCACAUUGGGCGCAAUCUUUACAUAAGUACCACCUGUAUCACUUAGAGAUACUUAACAAACGAACAGUGUCCUCAUCCUUAGCAUCAAGACUCAUUACAAUCAACCCUAGAGCAACUGCAGGAAUUACUGAACAUGGCAAAGUCAUAAGUUAUCCUUGAUCUCAGUUCAACAUGUAAUGUCAACUGCAAAAAACUGCUGUCAUUUGACAUAUUGUUUUAUUGUUGACAACACAUUCAACCAGACACACACACACACAAAAAAAAAAGAAAAAAAGGAAAUGAGCCUAAAUAUGGGCCCGGUUAGCUCAGUCGGUAGAGCAUGAGACUUUUAAUCUCAGGGUCGUGGGUUCAAGUCCCACAUUGGGCGCAAUCUUUACAUGAGAACCACCUCUAUCACUGAGAUAAACUUAAAAACAAUGCCAUAAGCCAACAGUGUCCUCAUCCUCAGCAUCAAGAUUCCUUGCACUCAUUACUCGAGCAACUGCAGGAAGAACUGCACAUGGCAAAGUCAUUACUUUUCCUUGAUCUCAGUUCAAAAUGUAAUGUCAGCUGCCACAACACUGCUGUCAUUUGACAUAUUGUUUGAUGUUAGGCAACACAUACAACCAGACACAAACAGAAAAAAUUACUGAACAUGGGCCUUGUUAGCUCAGUCGGUAGAGCAUGAGACUUUUAAUCUCAGGGUCAUGGGUUCAAGUCCCACAUUGGGUGCAAUCUAUACAUGAGAACCACCUCUAUCACUGAGAUAAACUUAAAAACAAUGCCAUAAACCAACAGUGUCCUCAUCCUCAGCAUCAAGAUUCCUUACACUCAUUACUCGAGCAACUGCAGGAAGAAUUGCACAUGGGAAAGUCGUAACUUUUCCUUGAUCUCAGUUCAACAUAUAAUGUCAGCUGCAACAACACUGCUGUCAUUUGACAUAUUGUUUUAUUUUAGACAACACAUUCAACCAGACACACACACAAAAAAAAAAAAAAAAGGAAAUGACCAUUAAUAUGGGCCCGGUUAGCUCAGUCGGUAGAGCAUGAGACUUUUAAUCUCAGGGUCGAGGGUUCAAGUCCCACAUUGGGCGCAUUCUUUACAUGAGUACCAACUGUAUCACUGAGAUAAACCUAACAACAAUGCCAUAAUGCCAUAAACAACACUGUCCUCAUCCUCAGCAUCAAGAUUCCUUACACUCAUUACUCGAGCAACUGCAGGAAGAACUGCACAUGGCAAAGUCAUAACUUUUCCUUGAUCUCAGUUCAACAUGUAAUGUCAACUGCAAAAACACUGCUGUCAUUUGACAUAUUGUUUGAUUGUAGACAACACAUUCAACCAGACACACACACACAAAAAAAAAAAAAAAAAAAAAAAAGGGAAAUGACCACAAAUAUGGGCCCGGUUAGCUCAGUCGGUAGAGCAUGAGACUUUUAAUCUCAGGGUCGUGGGUUCAAGUCCCACAUUGGGCGCAAUCUUUACAUGAGAACGACCUCUAUCACUGAGAUAAACUUAAACACAAUGCAAUAAACCAACAGCGUUCUCAUCCUCAGCAUCAAGAUUCCUUGCACUCAUUACUCGAGCAACUGCAGGAACAACUGCACAUGUGCAAAGUCAUUACUUUUCCUUGAUCUCAGUUCAACAUGUAAUGUCAGCUGCAACAACACUGCUGUCAUUUGACAUAUUGUUUUAUUUUAGGCAACACAUACAACCAGACACAAACAGAAAAAAUUACUGAACAUUGGCCCGGUUAGCUCAGUCGGUAGAGCAUGAGACUCUUAAUCUCAGGGUCGUGGGUUCGAGCCCCACAUUGGGCGCAAUCUUUACAUAAGUACCACCUGUAUCACUUAGAGAUACUUAACAAACAAACAGUGUCCUCAUCCUUAGCCUCAAGACUCAUUACAGUCAACCUCAAGCAACUGCAGGAAGCACUGAACAUGGCAAAGUCGCAACUUUUCCAUGAUCUCAGUUCAACAUGUAAUGUCAACUGCAAAAACACUGCUGUCAUUUGACAUAUUGUUUGAUUGUAGACACCACAUUCAACCAGACACACACAAAAAAAAAGAAAAAAAAAAAAAAGGAAAUGAGCCUAAAUAUGGGCCCGGUUAGCUCAGUCGGUAGAGCAUGAGACUUUUAAUCUCAGGGUCGUGGGUUCAAGUCCCACAUUGGGCGCAAUCUUUACAUGAGAACCACCUCUAUCACUGAGAUAAACUUAAAAACAAUGCAAUAAACCAACACUGUCCUCAUCCUCAGCAUCAAGAUUCCUUGCACUCAUUACUGGAGCAACUGCAGGAAGAACUGCACAUGGCAAAGUCAUUACUUUUCCUUGAUCUCAGUUCAAAAUGUAAUGUCAGCUGCAACAACACUGCUAUCAUUUGGCAUAUUGUUUGAUUUUAGGCAACACAUACAACCAGACACAAACAGAACAAAUUACUGAACAUGGGCCCGGUUAGCUCAGUCGGUAGAGCAUGAGACUCUUAAUCUCAGGGUCGUGGGUUCGAGCCCCACAUUGGGCGCAAUCUUUACAUAAGUACCACCUGUAUCACUUAGAGAUACUUAACAAACGAACAGUGUCCAUCAUCCUUAGCAUCAAGACUCAUUACAAUCAACCCUCGAGCAACUGCAGGAAGCACUGAACAUGGCAAAGUCAUAAGUUAUCCUUGAUCUCAGUUCAACAUGUAAUGUCAACUGCAAAAACACUGCUGUCAUUUGACAUAUUGUUUGAUUGUAGACACCACAUUCAACCAGACACACACAAAAAAAAAGAAAAAAAAAAAAAAGGAAAUGAGCCUAAAUAUGGGCCCGGUUAGCUCAGUCGGUAGAGCAUGAGACUUUUAAUCUCAGGGUCGUGGGUUCAAGUCCCACAUUGGGCGCAAUCUUUACAUGAGAACGACCUCUAUCACUGAGAUAAACUUAAACACAAUGCAAUAAACCAACAGUGUCCUCAUCCUCAGCAUCAAGAUUCCUUGCACUCAUUACUCGAGCAACUGCAGGAACAACUGCACAUGGCAAAGUCAUAACUUUUCCUUGAUCUCAGUUCAACAUGUAAUGUCAGCUGCAACAACACUGCUGUCAUUUGACAUAUUGUUUUAUUUUAGGCAACACAUACAACCAGACACAAACAGAAAAAAUUACUGAACAUGGGCCCGGUUAGCUCAGUCGGUAGAGCAUGAGACUCUUAAUCUCAGGGUCGUGGGUUCGAGCCCCACAUUGGGCGCAAUCUUUACAUAAGUACCACCUGUAUCACUUAGAGAUACUUAACAAACGAACAGUGUCCUCAUCCUUAGCAUCAAGACUCAUUACAAUCAACCCUAGAGCAACUGCAGGAAUUACUGAACAUGGCAAAGUCAUAAGUUAUCCUUGAUCUCAGUUCAACAUGUAAUGUCAACUGCAAAAAACUGCUGUCAUUUGACAUAUUGUUUGAUUGUAGACAACACAUUCAACCAGACACACACACAAAAAAAAAAAAAAGGAAAUGAGCCUAAAUAUGGGCCCGGUUAGCUCAGUCGGUAGAGCAUGAGACUUUUAAUCUCAGGGUCGUGGGUUCAAGUCCCACAUUGGGCGCAAUCUUUACAUGAGUAUCAACUGUAUCACUGAGAUAAACCUAACAACAAUGCCAUAAACCAACAGUGUCCUCAUCCAAAGCAUCAAGAUUCCUUACACUCAUUACUCGAGCAACUGCAGGAAGAACUGCACAUGGCAAAGUCAUUACUUUUCCUUGAUCUCAGUUCAAAAUGUAAUGUCAGCUGCCACAACACUGCUGUCAUUUGACAUAUUGUUUGAUGUUAGGCAACACAUACAACCAGACACAAACAGAAAAAAUUACUGAACAUGGGCCUUGUUAGCUCAGUCGGUAGAGCAUGAGACUUUUAAUCUCAGGGUCAUGGGUUCAAGUCCCACAUUGGGUGCAAUCUUUACAUGAGUACCAACUGUAUCACUGAGAUAAACUUAACAACAAUGCCAUAAACCAACAGUGUCCUCAUCCUCAGCAUCAAGAUUCCUUACACUCAUUACUCGAGCAACUGCAGGAAGAAUUGCACAUGGGAAAGUCGUAACUUUUCCUUGAUCUCAGUUCAACAUAUAAUGUCAGCUGCAACAACACUGCUGUCAUUUGACAUAUUGUUUUAUUUUAGACAACACAUUCAACCAGACACACACACAAAAAAAAAAAAAAAAAAAAAAAAGGAAAUGACCAUUAAUAUGGGCCCGGUUAGCUCAGUCGGUAGAGCAUGAGACUUUUAAUCUCAGGGUCGAGGGUUCAAGUCCCACAUUGGGCGCAUUCUUUACAUGAGUACCAACUGUAUCACUGAGAUAAACCUAACAACAAUGCCAUAAACCAACACUGUCCUCAUCCUCAGCAUCAAGAUUCCUUACACUCAUUACUCGAGCAACUGCAGGAAGAACUGCACAUGGCAAAGUCUUAACUUUUCCUUGAUCUCAGUUCAACAUGUAAUGUCAGCUGCAAAAACACUGCUGUCAUUUGACAUAUUGUUUGAUUGUAGACAACACAUUCAACCAGACACACACACACAAAAAAAAAAAAAAAAAAAAAAAGGAAAUGACCAUAAAUAUGGGCCCGGUUAGCUCAGUCGGUAGAGCAUGAGACUUUUAAUCUCAGGGUCGUGGGUUCAAGUCCCACAUUGGGCGCAAUCUUUACAUGAGAACGACCUCUAUCACUGAGAUAAACUUAAACACAAUGCAAUAAACCAACAGUGUCCUCAUCCUCAGCAUCAAGAUUCCUUGCACUCAUUACUCGAGCAACUGCAGGAACAACUGCACAUGUGCAAAGUCAUUACUUUUCCUUGAUCUCAGUUCAACAUGUAAUGUCAGCUGCAACAACACUGCUGUCAUUUGACAUAUUGUUUUAUUUUAGGCAACACAUACAACCAGACACAAACAGAAAAAAUUACUGAACAUGGGCCCGGUUAGCUCAGUCGGAAGAGCAUGAGACUCUUAAUCUCAGGGUCGUGGGUUCGAGCCCCACAUUGGGCGCAAUCUUUACAUAAGUACCACCUGUAUCACUUAGAGAUACUUAACAAACAAACAGUGUCCUCAUCCUUAGCAUCAAGACUCAUUACAAUCAACCUUCGAGCAACUGCAGGAAGCACUGAACAUGGCAAAGUCGCAUCUUUUCCAUGAUCUCAGUUCAACAUGUAAUGUCAACUGCAAAAACACUGCUGUCAUUUGACAUAUUGUUUGAUUGUAGACAACACAUUCAACCAGACACACACACAAAAAAAAAAAAAAAAAGGAAAUGAGCCUAAAUAUGGGCCCGGUUAGCUCAGUCGGUAGAGCAUGAGACUUUUAAUCUCAGGGUCGUGGGUUCAAGUCCCACAUUGGGCGCAAUCUUUACAUGAGAACCACCUCUAUCACUGAGAUAAACUUAAAAACAAUGCAAUAAACCAACACUGUCCUCAUCCUCAGCAUCAAGAUUCCUUGCACUCAUUACUGGAGCAACUGCAGGAAGAACUGCACAUGGCAAAGUCAUUACUUUUCCUUGAUCUCAGUUCAAAAUGUAAUGUCAGCUGCAACAACACUGCUGUCAUUUGGCAUAUUGUUUGAUUUUAGGCAACACAUACAACCAGACACAAACAGAACAAAUUACUGAACAUGGGCCCGGUUAGCUCAGUCGGUAGAGCAUGAGACUCUUAAUCUCAGGGUCGUGGGUUCAAGUCCCACAUUGGGCGCAAUCUUUACAUAAGUACCACCUGUAUCACUUAGAGAUACUUAACAAACGAACAGUGUCAUCAUCCUUAGCAUCAAGACUCAUUACAAUCAACCCUCGAGCAACUGCAGGAAGCACUGAACAUGGCAAAGUCAUAAGUUAUCCUUGAUCUCAGUUCAACAUGUAAUGUCAACUGCAAAAACACUGCUGUCAUUUGACAUAUUGUUUGAUUGUAGACACCACAUUCAACCAGACACACACAAAAAAAAAGAAAAAAAAAAAAAAGGAAAUGAGCCUAAAUAUGGGCCCGGUUAGCUCAGUCGGUAGAGCAUGAGACUUUUAAUCUCAGGGUCGUGGGUUCAAGUCCCACAUUGGGCGCAAUCUUUACAUGAGAACGACCUCUAUCACUGAGAUAAACUUAAACACAAUGCAAUAAACCAACAGUGUCCUCAUCCUCAGCAUCAAGAUUCCUUGCACUCAUUACUCGAACAACUGCACAUGGCAAAGUCUAAACUUUUGCUUGAUCUCAGUUCAACAUGUAAUGUCAGCUGCAACAACACUGCUGUCAUUUGACAUAUUGUUUGAUUGUAGGCAACACAUACAACCAGACACAAACAGAAAAAAUUACUGAACAUGGGCCCGGUUAGCUCAGUCGGUAGAGCAUGAGACUUUUAAUCUCAGGGUCGUGGGUUCAAGUCCCACAUUGGGCGCAAUCUUUACAUAAGUACCACCUGUAUCACUUAGAGAUACUUAACAAACGAACAGUGUCCUCAUCCUUAGCAUCAAGACUCAUUACAAUCAACCCUAGAGCAACUGCAGGAAUUACUGAACAUGGCAAAGUCAUAAGUUAUCCUUGAUCUCAGUUCAACAUGUAAUGUCAACUGCAAAAACACUGCUGUCAUUUGACAUAUUGUUUUAUUGUAGACAACACAUUCAACCAGACACACACACACACAAAAAAAAAGAAAAAAAGGAAAUGAGCCUAGAUAUGGGCCCGGUUAGCUCAGUCGGUAGAGCAUGAGACUUUUAAUCUCAGGGUCGUGGGUUCAAGUCCCACAUUGGGCGCAAUCUUUACAUGAGAACGACCUCUAUCACUGAGAUAAACUUAAAAACAAUGCAAUAAACCAACACUGUCCUCAUCCUCAGCAUCAAGAUUCCUUGCACUCAUUACUGGAGCAACUGCAGGAACAACUGCACAUGGCAAAGUCAUAACUUUUCCUUGAUCUCAGUUCAAAAUGUAAUGUCAGCUGCAACAACACUGCUGUCAUUUGACAUAUUGUUUGAUUUUAGGCAACACAUACAACCAGACACAAACAGAAAAAAUUACUGAACAUGGGCCCGGUUAGCUCAGUCGGUAGAGCAUGAGACUCUUAAUCUCAGGGUCGUGGGUUCGAGCCCCACAUUGGGCGCAAUCUUUACAUAAGUACCACCUGUAUCACUUAGAGAUACUUAACAAACGAACAGUGUCCUCAUCCUUAGCAUCAAGACUCAUUACAAUCAACCCUCGAGCAACUGCAGGAAGCACUGAACAUGGCAAAGUCAUAAGUUAUCCUUGAUCUCAGUUCAACAUGUAAUGUCAACUGCAAAAACACUGCUGUCAUUUGACAUAUUGUUUGAUUGUAGACAACACAUUCAACCAGACACACACACACAAAAAAUAAAUAAAUAAAAAAAAGGAAAUGAGCCUAAAUAUGGGCCCGGUUAGCUCAGUCGGUAGAGCAUGAGACUUUUAAUCUCAGGGUCGUGGGUUCAAGUCCCACAUUGGGCGCAAUCUUUACAUGAGAACCACCUCUAUCACUGAGAUAAACUUAACAACAAUGCCAUAAACCAACAGUGUCCUCAUCCUUCAGCAUCAAGAUUCCUUUCACUCAUUACUCGAGCAACUGCAGGAAGAACUGCACAUGGCAAAGUCAUUACUUUUCCUUGAUCUCAGUUCAACAUGUAAUGUCAGCUGCAAAAACACUGCUGUCAUUUGACAUAUUGUUUGAUUUUAGGCAACACAUACAACCAGACACAAACAGAAAAAAUUACUGAACAUGGGCCCGGUUAGCUCAGUCGGUAGAGCAUGAGACUUUUAAUCUCAGGGUCGUGGGUUCAAGUCCCACAUUGGGUGCAAUCUUUACAUGAGAACCACCUCUAUCACUGAGAUAAACUUAAAAACAAUGCCAUAAACCAACAGUGUCCUCAUCCUCAGCAUCAAGAUUCCUUACACUCAUUACUCGAGCAACUGCAGGAAGAACUGCACAUGGCAAAGUCUUAACUUUUCCUUGAUCUCAGUUCAACAUGUAAUGUCAGCUGCAACAACACUGCUGUCAUUUGACAUAUUGUUUGAUUGUAGACAACACAUUCAACCAGACACACACACACAAAAAAAAAAAAAAAAAAAAGGAAAUGACCAUUAAUAUGGGCCCGGUUAGCUCAGUCGGUAGAGCAUGAGACUUUUAAUCUCAGGGUCGUGGGUUCAAGUCCCACAUUGGGCGCAAUCUUUACAUGAGUAUCAACUGUAUCACUGAGAUAAACCUAACAACAAUGCCAUAAACCAACAGUGUCCUCAUCCAAAGCAUCAAGAUUCCUUACACUCAUUACUCGAGCAACUGCAGGAAGAACUGCACAUGGCAAAGUCAUAACUUUUCCUUGAUCUCAGUUCAACAUAUAAUGUCAGCUGCAACAACACUGCUGUCAUUUGACAUAUUGUUUGAUUGUAGACAACACAUUCAACCAGACACACACACACAAAAAAAAAAAAAAAAAAAAGGAAAUGACCAUAAAUAUGGGCCCGGUUAGCUCAGUCGGUAGAGCAUGAGACUUUUAAUCUCAGGGUCGUGGGUUCAAGUCCCACAUUGGGCGCAAUCUUUACAUAAGUACCACCUGUAUCACUUAGAGAUACUUAACAAACCGACAGUGUCCUUAUCCUUAGCAUCAAGACUCAUUACAAUCAACCCUCGAGCAACUGCAGGAAGCACUGAACAUGGCAAAGUCAUAAGUUAUCCUUGAUCUCAGUUCAACAUGUAAUGUCAACUGCAAAAACACUGCUGUCAUUUGACAUAUUGUUUGAUUGUAGACAACACAUACAACCAGACACACAAGCAAAACAAAAAAAAAAUAAAUAUAUACAGAAAAGAACCGUAAUUAAUGCCUAAGUUCGCUAAGUCGGUAUAGAAUAUGACUUUUAAUCUUAGCGUCGUGGCUUCAACUCCCACAUUGGUUGCAAGCUUUUCUUAAGUACUACCUGCAUCACUGUGACCAUAGACCAACAGUGUCCUCAUCCUCAUCAGCAAGACUCCUUACAAUCAACACUCGAACAAUUGCGGGAAGCAGUGCACAUGGGCAAAGUCAUAACUUUUCCUUGAUCUCAGUUCAACAUGUAAUGUCAGCUGCAACAACACUGCUGUCAUUUGACAUAUUGUUUGAUUGUAGACAACACAUUCAACCAGACACAAACAGAAAAAAAUGGCCUGAACAUGGGCCCGGUUAGCUCAGUCGGAAGAGCAUGAGUGUCUUUAUCUCAGGGUCAUGGGUUCGAGCCCCACAUUGGGCGCAAUCUUUACAUAAGUACCAACUGUAUCACUCAGAGAUACUUAACAAACCAACAGUGUCCUUAUCCUUAGCAUCAAGACUCAUUACAAUCAACCCUCAAGCAAUUGCAGGAACCACUGAACAUGGCAAAGUCUGAACUUUUCCUUGAUCUCAGUUCAA